CAGUGGCGAACAACCACUCUUUUCUGGAAUUGUAUCGACUGAAGAAACGAAUCCUCAAGAGGCGGCGAUCUUCAUAAGUCCUGCAGUACUGCCAUACUUGAACGAGUUGUUGAAAUUGGGAUGGACGGUACUUUUCGGUCGAAAACUAAAAAUCCUUUUGGUGUCCACCAAGUCAUCGUGUUAACUAUUUUCUUCGAAGGUCACGCGUUUGUGUUACCCACCGUUCUGUGUUCAGGCAAGACGGAAGCGCUGUACAAACUUAUACCACGACACAUUAAAAUGAAGGCCGCUGAACUUCCAGGGGCUCGUGCCAUGGUACCAAAAAAAUGCACUGCGAUUUCAAAAAAGCCACGAUGAACGCUCUUGCUGAAGUCACCAUCGGAAUUAUUUGUGGAUGCUACUAUCAUUAUUGCCAGACUCUUCAUAGACGGGUGACUGACGUAUGCUUGUUGGGACGGGAGUACCAUAGUGUUCCACUGGUAAAAAAAAUUGUCAAGCUGUUGGGUUCCCUGCCAUAUCUACAUCCAACUACGUUGAAUCAAAGCUUUGGAGGUAAUUACAUUGACUACGUGACAACAAUUUGAAUUAAAAUGGCACUAAGACAACUACGGAUUAGUAGCCAUGCGGUAGUUUGCCAAAAUGUAGGCUGAUUGAUAUUUUCUUCUAUUACAUAUUAUUGACGCAUAUUUUGAGGGACAAAAAGGUUUAGUGAGUCCACGUAUUCAAGAACAGCUUAGAUUAUUGUUAAUCUAUUAUCGAACAACCUGGAUUGAAAUUUAUGGCCCCAACGUGUUUUGCAUUGAAAGGAAAGGACAUAUCUACGAAUAACAAUAUGGAGUCCAUCAAUC